GGCUGAUCUGAGUGCAGUGGUGUUUACAACUAAUUGAUCACAACCAGUUACAGAUACCUCUAUUCCUUUUCCACUCCCACUGCUUCACUUGCCUAGCCUUAA
rnacentral:Y_RNA from 1 species